rnacentral:rRNA from 1 species
GAUGAACGCUGGCGGCGUGCCUAAUACAUGCAAGUCGAGCGAACGGACGAGAAGCUUGCUUCUCUGAUGCUAGCGGCGGACGGGUGAGUAACACGUGGAUAACCUACCUAUAAGACUGGGAUAACUUCGGGAAACCGGAGCUAAUACCGGAUAAUAUUUUGAACCGCAUGGUUCAAAAGUGAAAGACGGUCUUGCUGUCACUUAUAGAUGGAUCCGCGCUGCAUUAGCUAGUUGGUAAGGUAACGGCUUACCAAGGCAACGAUGCAUAGCCGACCUGAGAGGGUGAUUGGCCACACUGGAACUGAGACACGGUCCAGACUCCUACGGGAGGCAGCAGUAGGGAAUCUUCCGCAAUGGGCGAAAGCCUGACGGAGCAACGCCGCGUGAGUGAUGAAGGUCUUCGGAUCGUAAAACUCUGUUAUUAGGGAAGAACAUAUGUGUAAGUAACUGUGCACAUCUUGACGGUACCUAAUCAGAAAGCCACGGCUAACUACGUGCCAGCAGCCGCGGUAAUACGUAGGUGGCAAGCGUUAUCCGGAAUUAUUGGGCGUAAAGCGCGCGUAGCGGUUUUUUAGUCUGAUGUGAAAGCCCACGGCUCACCCGUGGAGGGUCAUUGGAAACUGGAAAACUUGAGUGCAGAAGAGGAAAGUGGAAUUCCAUGUGUAGCGGUGAAAUGCGCAGAGAUAUGGAGGAACACCAGUGGCGAAGGCGACUUUCUGGUCUGUAACUGACGCUGAUGUGCGAAAGCGUGGGGAUCAAACAGGAUUAGAUACCCUGGUAGUCCACGCCGUAAACGAUGAGUGCUAAGUGUUAGGGGGUUUCCGCCCCUUAGUGCUGCAGCUAACGCAUUAAGCACUCCGCCUGGGGAGUACGACCGCAAGGUUGAAACUCAAAGGAAUUGACGGGGACCCGCACAAGCGGUGGAGCAUGUGGUUUAAUUCGAAGCAACGCGAAGAACCUUACCAAAUCUUGACAUCCUUUGACAACUCUAGAGAUAGAGCUUUCCCCUUCGGGGGACAAAGUGACAGGUGGUGCAUGGUUGUCGUCAGCUCGUGUCGUGAGAUGUUGGGUUAAGUCCCGCAACGAGCGCAACCCUUAAGCUUAGUUGCCAUCAUUAAGUUGGGCACUCUAAGUUGACUGCCGGUGACAAACCGGAGGAAGGUGGGGAUGACGUCAAAUCAUCAUGCCCCUUAUGAUUUGGGCUACACACGUGCUACAAUGGACAAUACAAAGGGUAGCGAAACCGCGAGGUCAAGCAAAUCCCAUAAAGUUGUUCUCAGUUCGGAUUGUAGUCUGCAACUCGACUACAUGAAGCUGGAAUCGCUAGUAAUCGUAGACCAGCAUGCUACGGUGAAUACGUUCCCGGGUCU